rnacentral:piRNA from 1 species
UUCAAUAAGCCGGUAGGUAGGCUGGAUCAU